CCCUUAGAUGUUCUGGGCGGCCCGCGCACUACAAUGGCGCUUUCAGCGAGUUCCUAUGUUGAAUUUUCCUUGGUAUUCUUGGAAGCGGCGUCUUGACUUGGGAUAGAUCCUUGUAAUUGGUGGUUUUGAACGAGGAAUUCCUUGUAAUCGCGGUUGAUCAGCUCGCGUUGAAUACGUCCCUGCCCUUUGUACACACCGCCCGUCGCUCCUACCGAUGAAUCGUCCGGUGAAGUUCACAGAGUGGCGGUUCGUGGAGUUGCUCGCGAAGUGAAAUGGACCUCACGAUUUAGAGGAAGGAGAAGUCGUAACA
rnacentral:rRNA from 1 species